rnacentral:misc_RNA from 1 species
GAUGAAGAACGUAGCGAAAUGCGAUAAGUAAUGUGAAUUGCAGAAUUCAGUGAAUCAUCGAAUCUUUGAACGCACCUUGCACCCUUUGGCAUUCCGAAGGGUAUGCUCGUUUGAGUGUCAUUGUACUCUCACACUCUCCGAUCCUAUGGAUUCGGGGAGCGGUGGACUUGGGUGUUGCUGCCUUUCCUUGUGGCUCACCUCAAAUGUGUCAGUGCACCUCUUGGUUGGACAUAGUACGGCGUGAUAAGUGUCUUCGCCGGCACCUCGCAAGAGGGUGGCCGAUCGGGAGCUCUGUGCUUUCAAACCGUCUUCGGACAAUUUCUGACAACUUGACCUCAAAUCGAGUAGGACUACCCGCUGAACGUAAGCAUAUCAAUAAGCGGAGGA